rnacentral:misc_RNA from 1 species
CCGAGUGCGGGCCCUCGCGCCCAACCUCCCAACCCUUCGUCGAUUUAUAUCUGUUGCCUCGGGGGGCGACCCGGACGUCACGUCCGGGAGUCCCCCAGAGGUCCAACCCAACACACUGCGUCUUUGCGUCGGAGUAUUGAAAACAAUCAAUCA